GAUGAACGCUAGCGGCAGGCUUAAUACAUGCAAGUCGAGGGGCAGCACGAAUAGCAAUAUUUGGUGGCGACCGGCGCACGGGUGCGUAACACGUAUACAACCUACCUAUAACAGGGGGAUAGCCUUUCGAAAGAGAGAUUAAUACCCCGUAAUAAAUUGAGUGGCAUCACUUGAUUUUGAAAGCUACGGCGGUUAUAGAUGGGUAUGCGUCUGAUUAGCUAGUUGGUGAGGUAACGGCUCACCAAGGCGACGAUCAGUAGGGGAUCUGAGAGGACUAACCCCCACACUGGUACUGAGACACGGACCAGACUCCUACGGGAGGCAGCAGUAAGGAAUAUUGGUCAAUGGAGGCAACUCUGAACCAGCCAUGCCGCGUGCAGGAUGACGGCCCUAUGGGUGUAAACUGCUUUUGUACCAGAGAAAACCUACUCACGUGUGAGUAGCUGAUAGUAUGGUAAGAAUAAGCAUCGGCUAACUUCGUGCC
rnacentral:rRNA from 1 species